GGUGAGUAAUGCCUGGGAAUAUGCCUUGAUGUGGGGGAUAACUAUUGGAAACGAUAGCUAAUACCGCAUAAUGCCUACGGGCCAAAGAGGGGGAUCUUCGGACCUCUCRCGUCAAGAUUAGCCCAGGUGGGAUUAGCUAGUUGGUGGGGUAAUGGCUCACCAAGGCGACGAUCCCUAGCUGGUUUGAGAGGAUGAUCAGCCACACUGGAACUGASACACSGUCCAGACUCCUACGGGAGGCASCAGUGGGGAAUAUUGCACAAUGGGGGAAACCCUGAUGCAGCCAUGCCGCGUGYAUGAAKAASGCCUUCGGGUUGUAAAGUACUUUCAGUUGUGA
rnacentral:rRNA from 2 species